CAGCACCUCAAGUGGUCAGGAUGAUUAUUGGGCCUAAAGCAUCCGUAGCCGGCGCUGUAAGUUUUCGGUUAAAUCUGUACGCUCAACGUACAGGCUGCCGGGAAUACUGCAGCGCUAGGGAGUGGGAGAGGUUGACGGCACUCGGUAGGAAGGGGUAAAAUCCUUUGAUCUAUUGAUGACCACCUGUGGCGAAGGCGGUCUACCAGAACACGUCCGACGGUGAGGGAUGAAAGCUGGGGGAGCAAACCGGAUUAGAUACCCGAGUAGUCC
rnacentral:rRNA from 1 species